rnacentral:rRNA from 1 species
UACGAAGGGAGCUAGCGUUGUUCGGAAUUAUUGGGCGUAAAGGGCGCGUAGGCGGCCUUUCAAGUUAGAAGUGAAAUGCCAAGGCUUAACCUUGGAACUGCUUUUAAGACUGAGAGGCUAGAGUUCGGUAGAGGAUAGUGGAAUUCCCAGUGUAGAGGUGAAAUUCGUAGAUAUUGGGAGGAACACCAGUGGCGAAAGCGACUAUCUGGACCGUUACUGACGCUGAGGCGCGAAAGCGUGGGGAGCAAAC